AAUCUUGCGCAAUGGGCGAAAGCCUGACGCAGCCAUUCCGCGUGAAUGAAGAAGGUCUUAGGUUUGUAACAUUCUUACACCGGGGACGAUAAUGACGCUACCCGAAGAAGAAUCCCUGGCUAACUUCGUGCCAGCAGCCGCGGUAAUACGAAGGGGGCUAGCGUUGCUCGGAAUUAAUGGGCGUAAAGGGCGCGUAGGCGGAUCGUUAAGUCAGAGGUGAAAUCCCAGGGCUCAACCCUGGAACUGCCUUUGAUACUGGCGAUCUUGAGUAUGAGAGAGGUAUGUGGAACUCCGAGUGUAGAGGUGAAAUUCGUAGAUAGUCGGAAGAACACCAGUGGCGAAGGCGACAUACUGGCUCAUUACUGACGCUGAGGCGCGAAAGCGUGGGGAGCAAACA
rnacentral:rRNA from 1 species